rnacentral:rRNA from 1 species
GAAGAUGUCUACACUAGCGUUAAUGCAUCGGAUCCUAUCAGAAAUCCGUAGUUAAGCAUGCUUGAGCUAGAGUAGUAAUGGGAUGGGUGACUUCCUGGGUAGUCCUAGUGUUGCAACCU